GCGCCGCAUUGGCUCUUCUGGCUCGCCUUCCAUCCCUGCUCCUGCACCGGUCUGCAUCUCCCAGCAGAAGGCGCAGCCAUGAAUCCGUUAUUCGGCCCCAACCUCUUCCUCCUGCAGCAGGAGCAGCAGGGCCUGGCCGGGCCACUGGGGGACUCACUGGGAGGCGACCACUUCGCCGGGGGAGGAGACUUGCCCCCGGCGCCUCUCUCGCCGGCCGGCCCUGCUGCCUACUCGCCGCCCGGGCCGGGCCCGGCCCCGCCUGCCGCCAUGGCCCUCCGCAAUGACCUGGGCUCCAACAUCAACGUGCUCAAGACCCUGAACCUCCGGUUCCGCUGCUUCCUGGCCAAGGUGCAUGAGCUGGAGCGCCGGAACCGGCUGUUGGAGAAGCAACUGCAGCAAGCGCUGGAGGAGGGUAAGCAGGGCCGGCGGGGCCUGGGUCGUCGCGACCAGGCAGUGCAGACCGGCUUCGUCAGCCCCAUCCGGCCCCUGGGGCUGCAGCUGGGCGCCCGGCCGGCCGCUGUCUGCAGCCCUUCGGCGCGCGUGCUGGGCUCGCCCGCGCGCUCCCCGGCCGGCCCCCUCGCGCCCUCCGCGGCCAGCCUCUCGUCGUCCUCCACCUCCACCUCCACCACCUAUUCCUCGUCGGCCCGCUUCAUGCCCGGCACCAUCUGGUCGUUCUCGCACGCCCGCCGGCUCGGGCCGGGACUGGAGCCCACUCUGGUGCAAGGGCCUGGCUUGUCGUGGGUGCACCCGGAUGGGGUGGGCGUCCAGAUCGACACCAUCACGCCCGAGAUCCGCGCUCUCUACAACGUGCUGGCCAAAGUGAAGCGGGAGCGGGACGAGUACAAGCGGAGGUGGGAAGAGGAGUACACGGUGCGGAUCCAGCUGCAAGACCGUGUAAAUGAGCUCCAGGAGGAAGCCCAGGAGGCUGAUGCCUGCCAGGAGGAGCUGGCACUGAAGGUGGAACAGUUGAAGGCUGAGCUGGUGGUCUUCAAGGGGCUCAUGAGUAACAACCUGUCGGAGCUGGACACCAAGAUCCAGGAGAAAGCCAUGAAGGUGGAUAUGGACAUCUGCCGCCGCAUCGACAUCACCGCCAAGCUCUGCGAUGUGGCUCAGCAGCGCAACUGCGAGGACAUGAUCCAGAUGUUCCAGAAGAAGCUGGUUAGUUUGAUCUCACGCAAGCUUAUUAAUGUCCCAGUCCCAGUUUCUAAGCUGCCUAGGCCUCCUGGCCCUCAGUUUGGGUCCGCUGGGCUCUUGAGCACGGAUUUUUUUCUGCCCUUUCUCUUUUCCUUGCUCUUCCCCCUUUUUCUCUCUAUCUCUUGUUCUCUUGACUGCAUUUCUUUCUCUCCCUUCUCCCCCGGCUUUCCAGAUCUGGAUGUGAUUCAGGUUCUCUUUUGUACACAUUGCACACUCAUCCUCCUUGCGGCCUAAAGCUUUUUUUUUUUUAGUUGAGUCAUUUAAUCAAAAAGACUUUUUUUAGAAAAAAAAUUUCCUCUUGAGCCAUCAUGCACAUCUGACUGCAGCCCCAGCGAGCCCUUCCUCCCUUGUCUGACUGCUCUUCUUCUCGAUUUCUUCUUGUUCUGCCUUCUCAGUUUGCAGCCCUGACCCACGCUGUGUGUCUGUGUGUCUGGCCCUUGGUGACUGUCCGUGUUUCUGUUCCUGUCAUUGUAACUGUGACUUUUCUUUCUGUCUGCCCCCCCCUUCCUACUGGUUCAUGCUUCUCCCCCAUUCCCACCCUCUCUGCCCGGCCUCCCGCUCCCGCCCUUUCUCCUCAUGCACCCGGCCUCGUCUCUGUAGUCUCUGCACUUGUCUCCCAUUAAGGUCCCAUCCAUGGGGGGGCGGAAGCGGGAGCGCAAGGCUGCCGUCGAGGAGGACACCUCCCUGUCGGAGAGUGAGGGGCCCCGCCAGCCCGAUGGGGAUGAGGAGGAGAGCACAGCCCUCAGCAUCAACGAGGAGAUGCAGCGCAUGCUCAACCAGCUGAGGGAGUAUGAUUUUGAGGACGACUGUGACAGCCUGACUUGGGAGGAGACUGAGGAGACCCUGCUGCUUUGGGAGGAUUUCUCAGGCUAUGCCAUGGCAGCUGCAGAGGCCCAGGGAGAGCAGCAGGAAGAUAGCCUGGAGAAGGUGAUUAAAGAUACGGAGUCCCUGUUCAAAACCCGGGAGAAGGAGUAUCAGGAGACCAUUGACCAGAUAGAGGCAAAGAUUUCCAGGAAAAGCAGAGGAAACAAUGGUGUAUUCGCUGCCUUCUGCCUUGGUCUGAUUUAUUUUAAAAUCUGAGCCUUCAGUAAUGGCUGCCUGGGCCCCCGGCCCAGCCACUGCUCUUGGCGUGUUAGCCUCCUGGCGGGGGCAACAGAGGCGCUGUGAACCCCACCUGUUAACCCCGAUGGCCCUGCCUGCCCCACCACAGCUGGAGUUGGCCACGGCCAAGAACGACAUGAACCGGCACCUGCACGAGUACAUGGAGAUGUGCAGCAUGAAGCGCGGCCUGGACGUGCAGAUGGAGACCUGCCGCCGGCUCAUCACCCAGUCUGGAGACCGAAAGUCUCCUGCUUUCGCUGCGGUCCCGCUUAGCGACCCGCCGCCGCCGCCAAGCGAGGCUGAGGACUCCGAUCGCGAUGUCUCAUCUGACAGCUCCAUGAGAUAGAGACCUGCCUCCCCCUUGCACCCGAGGCCCUCGCAGCGGGGACCUCAGCGAGGCAGAGGGUGGGGCUGCACAGAGGGGAACAUCAGCUGCAGCUCUGCACCAGGCCGGCCCCUGGGGACUGGGGCGCUCCUCCCUCAGGCUUUCUCCCUCGGUCUUGGCUUCUCCAGGGCUCUGGGGUGUCUGGAGCUAGGCUUGGCCCUACCAUUCUGGGGCCAUUUCCACCACAGUUGGGGCUCUCCUGCCUUCACGCGUGGGUGUCUGCUACUUCCCCAUCUUUAAAAUGCUGCCAGAGCGAUUGCGGCCCCUCACCUUGUCCACGUAUCAGGAAUGUGAAUGUGGGACCUUUCCUCCAUCCCUGUUGUCCGGAGCCAGCUCACUGUCUUCCACACUGGUGCUAACUGGCCCAGGCACUGGAGUGGAAUAGAAUGCAGCUGGAGGCUACGCAUGGCCUCUGCAGCACACGCAGCUGGAGAGGGCUUCUGUCCCUGUCAGCGGCAGAGGGCGUUGGGGCUGGCCGGGGCACCUUGUCCCUGCUAUGGUCCACAUGCUCACGCUGUCCACCUGCCAGGUGGAGUGUAUGUGGCUGUGGCCCUCCCUCGUGGAGGUGCCGUGCUUUAAAGAGGCCUUAGUGCCCGGGAUGGGCACAGUGUUUUGAAGGGAGGUGGGAGCUCUUGCUCUCCUGGUCACUGCAGAAUGACAGAGAAGGUGAAGCUCCGUGCAUGUGUGCGCGGGUGUAUGUGCGCUCAGGGUCUCUGUUUAAGUAUCAGCUAAAGAUGUGCCUCCUCCAUGUCUGUCAUACACUGAGACCAACAGGCUACAGUGUCCCUGAUUCUUGGAAAAGCCUGGAGAAGCUGGGGAGAUGCGGUUCACAAUGCCUCGGUAUAGGAGGCUGUGUUGAGCUGACAUUCAAAUGGAUUCUUUAAUAAUAAUGAAACUGGCGAGUA